CCGCGAUACGUACCUAUUAACGGCUUACGAUUACAGUAGCGAUUAUAUUGUCGGAGAAAAAAAAACGAAUAAGUUGAAUAGUAUUUAUGACCAUAUAGUUAACGAGCAUUGUGCCCAGUGGCGUCAUUUGGGGAGAGGCGGAGGGGAUGUUCGCCCCUCUCUUGUCAUCAGCAAGGUUUUAUUGGCCGGGUAUAGGUUAGUUUUGGGCCACAAGCCUGCGAACAUAAUUUAUGAUUUAUCUUGCAUACGGCCACCCUGAGCUACAGUUUUUUAAGAUUUAUUUGUG